CGGCCUCUAGCUCAGUUGGUAGAGCAACUGACUCUUAAUCAGUAGGUCGUGGGUUCGAAACCCACGGGGCCGACAA
rnacentral:tRNA from 2 species